rnacentral:rRNA from 1 species
CCUACGGGAGGCAGCAGUGAGGAAUAUUGGUCAAUGGGCGAGAGCCUGAACCAGCCAAGUCGCGUGAGGGAGUACUGCCCUAUGGGUUGUAAACCUCUUUUGUCGGGGAGCAAAAGCCGGACGUGUCCGGCUGUGAGAGUACCCGAAGAAAAAGCAUCGGCUAACUCCGUGCCAGCAGCCGCGGUAAUACGUAGGUGGCAAGCGUUGUCCGGAUUUACUGGGUUUAAAGGGCGUGUAGCCGGGUUGACAAGUCAGAGGUGAAAUCCUGCGGCUUAACGGGAGAACUGCAUUUGAAACUGUUGAUCUGGAGUGCUGGAGAGGCAGACGGAAUGCGUAGUGUAGCGGUGAAAUGCGUAGAUAUUAGGAGGAACACCAGUGGCGAAGGCGGUCUGCUGGACAGCAACUGACGGUGAGGCGCGAAAGCGUGGGGAGCAAACAGGAUUAGAUACCCUUGUAGUC